CAGCCGCCGCGGUAAUACGAGGGGGGCAAGCGUUGUUCGGAAUUAUUGGGCGUAAAGGGCGCGUAGGCGGUUUGGCAAGUUUGGUGUGAAAUCUUCGGGCUCAACUCGAAGUCUGCAUCGAAAACUGCCGGGCUUGAGUGUGGGAGAGGUGAGUGGAAUUUCCGGUGUAGCGGUGAAAUGCGUAGAUAUCGGAAGGAACACCUGUGGCGAAAGCGGCUCACUGGACCACAACUGACGCUGAGGCGCGAAAGCUAGGGGAGCAAACAGGAUUAGAUACCCGCGUAGUCCCUGUCUCUUAUAC
rnacentral:rRNA from 1 species